ACUCCUACGGGAGGCAGCAGUGGGAAUAUUGCACAAUGGGCGCAAGCCUGAUGCAGCAACGCCGCGUGAGGGAUGAAGGCCUUCGGGUUGUAAACCUCUUUUAGCAGGGAAGAAGCGAAAGUGACGGUACCAUCAGAAGAAGCACCGGCUAACUACGUGCCAGCAGCCGCGGUAAUACGUAGGGUGCGAGCGUUAAUCGGAAUUACUGGGCGUAAAGCGUGCGCAGGCGUUGUGUAAGACAGGUGUGAAAUCCCGGCCGUAUCACUGGGAACUGCGCUUGUGACUGCACAGCUAGAGUACGGCAGAGGGGGGUGGAAUUCCACGUGUAGCAGUGAAAUGCGUAGAGAUGUGGAGGAACACCGAUGGCGAAGGCAGCCC
rnacentral:rRNA from 1 species